UACACCUUAUAUCUUAACAAUUAACAGAUUGACACUCCAUUUGAAGAUAUCCCCGAAAACUAUAAGCAGGACGAAAGUCUGACAUCUCGGGUCAACUUCGUUUCUUCGCCGCCCCAUGAGCGUGUUGUCACGGCUGAACGAUCUGAUACAAGCGAUUCGCAGGAAUACUUAAAGUCUUUCUCUGGUACCACACCGCAGAAACUCUCCAGAAUGUCACGAACCCGGGAACGGGAGAUACUGGUAACACCACGGGACGUGCACAACGCGAGCACUAAAAUCCAGAACUUAAACUGGGAUAUCGAAACACAGACGGUUAGGUUAAAGAGAAAGUCAGACAAAUACUUGCAGGAAAAGUACCCAGAUCAAUACCAAAUAAUAAGACAGCGAUAUGAAGAAAGAAAACCAAAAAGUCCAUUCACAA